rnacentral:lncRNA from 1 species
GGUAAACAUUCGGAAUGGUAAAGUUUAAUUUUAUAUCAGCAAAUAAAAAUUACAUUUUGGACUUUAUAAAAUUCACAUGCUUGUGUAAUGAUGUUUACUGUUCCUUAUAGGUAACUCAUUUAGUUGACUGAUGGCUACACAGGUAUAACAAUAUAGGUAAUGCUUAAGAAGUAGUGAAAUGGUAAUAAAGAACAUCACAAACUCAGGAUAUCAAUACUGAAUCAACAGCCUGUGUACAUUAUAAAUGAAAACGAGAACGCUGGUCUCCAAUAACCUCAGCUUUAUGAAUAAACUAUAAGUCUUAUGAACAUACAAGUAGUAAAAGAUUAAAUGUUAAAUAUUGUGUCCUUGGAUACUCAUAAAUUCUUUUGUGGGCAUUGCCUAUAAAUGUCUUUAUAUUUUUAAAGACUAUAUUUCAAGUGUUCUAAUAUGCGAAGGAAGUCUGCAUUUUUCUAUAGUGUGUAAUAGAAAAAAGAACUCUCAAGUACAAUAAUUUUCUAAUAAAUUUACAGCACUCUUAAUGUAAACUACAACCCUCUCUCUUGAAUCUCUCCAAGUUGCAUGAAAAUUAUAAAAUUUUUCUGUUUCAAUAGGUAAACCUUGCUCCACUUAAGUCAGGGGGCCUGA